rnacentral:lncRNA from 1 species
CAAAAAAAGCAAACAUAAAGAUGAGUUCAUCUUCAGUACCAUAUUGACAUACACUGAUAAUCAAUAGUAUCUAACUAUGGACACGUGGAAGCCUUUAAACACAGACAUUUUGACAUGAUUUUAUCACAAAGCUUGUUACCUGCCUUGAUGACCUCUUUUCUCUUUUUUAAUCAGAUAAUACCAAAACAACACAAUGGGUAUGUUAAAGCACAUCUGUGUGAAUAGAUUUAUUUUUAUCAAUUAACUGCAUCUUUAAAGACUAAAUCAGUAAAAAAUGCUAAAAGUGUUCUCUUCAAUUUAACCAGUGCCAACAUAGUUGUUUUGGUUUUGUCAGCGUGGAUGCUUGCCAGACCGGUAUCCUUAAUAUCCUUAAUCCUGUUAGGUCCCCGCCAGAUUGGUCAACAAACUGUUUGGACCGCCUUAUCACAGUGGGCUUGGACAGAUUCACACCUCAUUAUGAUCUUGUCAGGGUAUUUUCAGGAUGCCACAUGGAGAUUACUGUGAGUUGAUCAAAGCACCAAUACAGCGCACUUUUUUUUUCAGAGGAAAUCCAACUGCCAACGUGAAAACAGACCCACCCAUUUUAACACACACAUAAAGUGUCCAGUUAACAAAAGUCUAUAUACAUAGUUGGGCAAAAGGAGGAAGUCCAUCUCAGACAGACCCGCCGUAUCCUUAAGAAGGAAGUCAAAUAACAAGCCUGCAGGUCUUAACUGGGAAAAAGAUGGGAAACGAGCAGUCAGUAAACAUAGAAGAGCUAUCCAAGAAUGGGACAAUUCCUGAAAAGCAUGAGAAUGGAACCGUGAAUGGCAUCUCUAUAGAAGUCACGUCUGGCGGACUGGAGAUUAAUGGUAAAAGUGAAACUACAGUCUGCCAAAAUGGCAAGGCCCACUCUUUAAACUCUGCCAUACAAUCAACUGAUGUGAUCGGCAAAUCAGAGUGUCAACCUGAUAUUGUCCAAGAUGUUUCUGAAGCCCCUGACGCCAAAAUCCAAGCUGUUUCUGAAGCCCCUGACGCCAAAAUCCAAGCUGUUUCUGAAGUUCCUGACACCAACACCCAGAAGGAAGAGGUCAAGAAAAGCAAAGGAGAAAAAGGUCGUCAUCAUUUUGGCAAACUGUUCAAAAAGAAAUCAGAACCUAAAGCUGAAGCUGAGACUGUUGAAGAAAAAGAAAAAGAGACACAGAGGGAAGAUCAAACGGAUGUAAGUGUUCCUCCCACUGAGCCACAGCAGGAGACGGCUAACCUAAACCAAGAGCCUGAAUCAUUAAAGGAGCCAGAGAGGGUGACUCCAGUCUCCAGUCCCAAGGAAGAAAACGUUCCUGAAACUGACAACGGAGACAGUGAGGCCGUGGAAAGCAAAGAGGAGAGUAACCCCGAAGAGAAUCCAGUUAUGAACUUCUUCAAAACCCUAGUGACCCCUACUAAAACGUCCAAAAAGGAAACGGCUAUUCCCGAUGCCGCAAAAGUUAAGUCCCAGAAGGAGACCCAACCAGCGGCAACCACUACUGUUGCACAAAUAUCUGAACCGCCUGCAGCACCGAAAGGAAUGUCCGUCCCACCACCCCCACCUCCAGAGCCACCGAAAAUGGAAAUCAAAGGAGAGCCAACUGCCAAACCUGUAAAGGCCUCGGCGAAAGAAGAACCUAAAGCUGCUGAAAAGGAGCCUGUGUCCUCGAAAGGAAAAUCAGCCAAAGAUACUCUGAGCAAAUUAUUCCGCCAGAAGAAGGUGGAUUCCUCAAAAGCUGACACCCGGGAGGCUGCUGCAAAACCAGAGCCACCACCACCUGCUCAGGAAGAGAAGAAAAGCGCCUCAAAAUCACCAUUCCUUUCUUUCUUCAAGCCCCAAGUACUAUUAGAUCACAUGACCACAAAAGUCCAGGCAGCCUCCACAAGUGGAAUUCGGUUCCUCAGGAAAACUACUGGACUGGCUGCUGAGCCCAAGAAGGUGACCCCGACCCCACCUGCAGCAGCGGAGGCAGCUCAAGCAGUUAAAGCCAAGGAGGAACCUAAAGUGGCAGCCAAGUCUUCAGAGCAAGCUGCAGAUAACAAACCAGCCUCUGUGCCUUCCCAAGCUGGCGAUGAUGCAGCCAGUGUGCCCAAAAAACUGGAAAAGAGGAACUCCAUUCAGCUAUUCUUUAAAAAUCUGACUCAGAAACGUCCUUCUACAGACGCCGGAGUCCAGACAGAGCCACUGACCGCUGCUCAAGGAGCUGAGAAAGCCAAAUGAGACCAGAAGCAACCCUUACGUUUUCCUGUACAGUCUCCUUCCCUCCUUCUCACUUGUACUCAGUCCUUCUUUUUCUCUCUUAUCGCCUUCUUGAAUCCCCUGAGUUACUUUGACUACUUUGUUUUUUAAUUGUUACUGCUUAAAAGUCACGAUAUCAAAGGUAAGGUUUUGGAAGAGUAAAGGAAAGUGGACAGAACAGUUAGCAGGGAGUUGAACUUGUGGAGAUUUAAAAUGGUCAAAGGUUGUUUGGACAUAUUUUUUUGUCACAUAAAUGUCUUGUCAGCAAUGUGACAUUUUCUACAGACAUUUAAAAUGACUUUUCUCUGUUUUGCAAUCUAACAUACUGGGCUUAUGCAAUAUAUAGUGCCAUGCUUUGCCUUGAACAACUAUUUUGUGUUAAAUCAAUAAAACUCAAUGUCAUAUAGGUUCUAUUUUUACACUUCACACCAGAGAAUUCACACAGUUCAGGUAAUGCAGUGGUUAACAUGAAGUACGUAGAUAUGAGUCAUAGAAAUGCUCUUAAUGGAGCUGGUCUAAGGAGUAUUAAAGUUUAUAUAGCAGAGUGUGCUUACAGAUUUUUGAACUCUAUGCAAGUUAUAUGUGGACUAAAACAAAAAGCUAUCUUUUAGCUUUAAUGGGACAUCACAAUCUCUACUGAUCUUUGGGGAACUGAUUGUAAAUACUCAACAAAUGCUUAAAAAUGCAUCCGAGGUAUUGAAAUGGUGUCUUUGUGCAAAUGUCUCCUUGUGAUAAGCUCUGCAUUACUCAUAAAUCACAACCGAGAAGCUUUUAUUUUGAUUUUAGCACUUUGUCUCGUGUCAACUAACAAGUCUUCCGGUGUAAGUAAACUGUGUCAGGCGUAUGUGCAAUUAAUGUGACGCUUUAGUUUGUCGUUAUGUAGUGUGCAUGUGAAACUUGAGCUAUUCUGAAGACAAUAAAUGCAAAUAAAUAUACCACAUGUCUGUUUUGUUUCAGAGUUUUCAUUUUUAAUGUAAGCUAUAAAAGCAUGGGGAGUGUUAUCAAGAAUAAUUGGGUGUUCCAGCAAUUUUUAAAAAAAAAAGAUGACCAGGCAAGUUUGGCCAAAAAAAAUAAAAGAUGCCUCUAUUGCGUGAGCAGUGUCAUUGCAACCAUUUUUAUGCAUAUAUGAGUGCAGGAAAGGUGUGGCGUAUCACUCUACACCCAUUCCGGGUGUUGAGUCAAAUACUGUAAGUCUGACUCAUGUUCAUAAAGAUGUCUGACAAAUCAUAGGAAAAACCUGAUCCCUUGACCCCUUUGGUGAGAGGAUCUGGUGGUUGCAUGGCAACAUUUUUUGGGUCCACGUGUUCUCAUAUAGGGCAGAGUCAGUGCAAAUCAUUAUAAGAUUAUGGGGAGCCAUCUUAACCCUUUAUUAUGAUGAAAUGCUUCUGUUGGGAGUGGCCUCUUCCAAGAUGGCACCUCGAGCCACAA